GCGGGUGUGGCGAAAUUGGUAGACGCACCAGAUUUAGGUUCUGGCGACUUAGUCGUGGGGGUUCGAGUCCCUUCACCCGCACCA
rnacentral:tRNA from 1 species